UACGAAGGGUGCAAACGUUGCUCGGAAUUAUUGGGCGUAAAGAGCUCGUAGGCGGUCUGUCGCGUCGGAUGUGAAAACCUCGGGGGCUCAACCCCCGAGCCUGCAUUCGAUACGGGGCAGACUAGAGUUUCGGUAGGGGGAGACUGGAAAUUCCUGGUGUAGCGGUGAAAAUGCGCAGAUAUCAGGAGGAACACCGGUGGCGAAGGCGGGGUCUCUGGGGCCCGAUACUGACGUGAGGGAGCGAAAAGCGUGGGGGGAGC
rnacentral:rRNA from 1 species